rnacentral:rRNA from 1 species
UACGUAGGAGGCAAGCGUUGUCCGGAAUUACUGGGCGUAAAGCGCGUGUAGGUGGUGGGACAAGUCUGCUGUGAAAGCGCCUGGCUUAACCGGGCGAGGUCGGCGGAAACUGUCCGACUCGAGGACGGUAGAGGGGGGUGGAAUUCCCGGUGUAGUGGUGAAAUGCGUAGAGAUCGGGAGGAACACCUGUGGCGAAGGCGGCUGACUGGACAUGUAUUGACGCUGAGGUGCGAAAGCGUGGGGAGCAAACAGGG